rnacentral:rRNA from 1 species
GUUUGAUUCAUGCUCAGAUUGAACGCUGGCGGCAGGCCUAACACAUGCAAGUCGAGCGGAUGAAGGGAGCUUGCUCCUGGAUUCAGCGGCGGACGGGUGAGUAAUGCCUAGGAAUCUGCCUGGUAGUGGGGGAUAACGUCCGGAAACGGGCGCUAAUACCGCAUACGUCCUGAGGGAGAAAGUGGGGGAUCUUCGGACCUCACGCUAUCAGAUGAGCCUAGGUCGGAUUAGCUAGUUGGUGGGGUAAAGGCCUACCAAGGCGACGAUCCGUAACUGGUCUGAGAGGAUGAUCAGUCACACUGGAACUGAGACACGGUCCAGACUCCUACGGGAGGCAGCAGUGGGGAAUAUUGGACAAUGGGCGAAAGCCUGAUCCAGCCAUGCCGCGUGUGUGAAGAAGGUCUUCGGAUUGUAAAGCACUUUAAGUUGGGAGGAAGGGCAGUAAGUUAAUACCUUGCUGUUUUGACGUACCAACAGAAUAAGCACCG